AUUGAGCGCUGGCGGCAGGCCUAACACAUGCAAGUCGAACGGUAACAGGAAACAGCUUGCUGUUUCGCUGACGAGUGGCGGACGGGUGAGUAAUGUCUGGGAAACUGCCUGAUGGAGGGGGAUAACUACUGGAAACGGUAGCUAAUACCGCAUAACGUCGCAAGACCAAAGAGGGGGACCUUCGGGCCUCUUGCCAUCGGAGGUGCCCAGAUGGGAUUAGCUAGUAGGUGGGGUAACGGCUCACCUAGGCGACGAUCCCUAGCUGGUCUGAGAGGAUGACCAGCCACACUGGAACUGAGACACGGUCCAGACUCCUACGGGAGGCAGCAGUGGGGAAUAUUGCACAAUGGGCGCAAGCCUGAUGCAGCCAUGUCGCGUGUAUGAAGAAGGCCUUCGGGUUGUAAAGUACUUUCAGCGGGGAGGAAGGGAGUAAAGUUAAUACCUUUGCUCAUUGACGUUACCCGCAGAAGAAGCACCGGCUAACUCCGUGCCAGCAGCCGCCGUAA
rnacentral:rRNA from 1 species